rnacentral:rRNA from 1 species
UACAGAGGGUGCGAGCGUUGUCCGGAAUCACUGGGCGUAAAGGGCGCGUAGGCGGCCUGAUAAGUAGGGGGUGAAAUCCUGUGGCUUAACUGCAGGGCUGCCUCCUAGACUGUUAGGCUCGAGCACGGUAGAGGCAGAUGGAAUUCCCGGUGUAGCGGUGGAAUGCGUAGAUAUCGAGAGGAACACCUGCGGCGAAGGCGGGUUGCUGGGCUGACACUGACGCUGAGGCGCGAAAGCUAGGGGAGCGAACGGG